GUAGAGCCUUUUGGGCUUAGUGUUGUGAAGCCCAACGCGCAGGGGGGCAAGGGAUUGAGGGUGAUCAGAUUCCCUCAUUCCAUUCUACAAUCAGCCAAUACACAUUCCUCCCUCUCACACAACUCAUUGGAAAUCACUCCGCCGCACCAGAGGUGGCGGAGCAGCCCAGAAAUGCACCAUAUUACCACCAUUAAAAUGCUCUCAACCUCCUCUCUCUCUCUCUCUCUCUCUCUCUCUCUCUCUCUCUCUCUCUCUUCCUAUCACCCUCAUUUCAUUUGAAAUCCACUGAAACUUCUAAUUCAAACCAAAAACAUCAAGAACCCUAAAAUACUCAAACCUAAAUUAAAUGCAAUAGGAGGGGAAUCAAAGCGUGAGACCUUAUCGCUUUGAUUCCCGUCUAAAACAUCUACAUUCUGGUAACACACUUGAGGAAAAAACAAAGGACGAAGUGGAAGAUCCUACCUACAGGACGAAGGCUUGUCCUUGGAAUUGUUGAAAUUGUUUGAAGGAGAUGAAGAUGAGAAGAUCAGAGAUAUCAACAGGGUUUCGGUGAAUUUGAUAGGGUGGACACACUUGGCUUGGCAUGGCAUCAUGAAGGUGUGGCAUGGCAUAAUGCACAUGAAGAUGUCUUUUUUGGAAUGCAUUAAGAACAUGAAGAAUAACAUGGUGAAUCAUGAGGAUGAAGAGAAAAAAUGGGCUUAGGAUAGUCAGUUUGACUUUGGUCAACUAUUUGACCAAAAGUCAACCUUAGGUCAAAAAUGGACCUUAGGUCAAAAAUGGCUUUUUUUUGUAUAAUUUGUACUUUGGAUUUUUGUAAUGAAAUUUGGUGUUUGUAAUGAGAUUCUUGGUCUUUGAAUGUAAGACAACUUGUUUUCCAA